rnacentral:rRNA from 1 species
GAUGAACGCUAGCUACAGGCUUAACACAUGCAAGUCGAGGGACCGGCGCACGGGUGAGUAACACGUAUCCAACCUGCCCUUUACUCGGGGAUAGCCUUUCGAAAGAAAGAUUAAUACCCGAUAUAAAGGAUGGGGAUGCGUUCCAUUAGGUUGUUGGUGAGGUAACGGCUCACCAAGCCUUCGAUGGAUAGUGGUUCUGAGAGGAAGGUCCCCCAGAAUGGAACUGAGGCACGGACCAAAAUCCUACGGGAGGCAGGAGUGAGGAAUAUUGGUGAAUGGGCGCUAGCCUGAACCAGCCAAGUAGCGUGAAGGAUGAAGGCUUAGGGGGCGUAAACGUCUUUUAUAUAAGAAUAUGUAUUAUAUGAAUAAGGAUCGACUAACUCCGUGCCAGCAGCCGCGGUAAUUC